AGCCAUGCGGUGAACAUAAAACGAACUUAUUUUUCUCCUUUUACUAAAGAUUACCGUGUGUUUUCCAUGCUAAGUGGCAUACGCCCAUUUUUAGAGGGUCUUGCUUGAGUGUGCCC